GUGCUCGCUUCGGCAGCACACAUACUAAAACUGGAGCUGUACAGAGAAGAUCAGCAGGGCCCCUGCCCUAAGAUGACACGCAAAUUCCCGAAGCGUUCCAUAUCUGU